UACAGAGGUGGCAAGCGUUGUUCGGAAUUACUGGGCGUAAAGGGCGCGUAGGCGGCCUUCUAAGUCAGACGUGAAAUCCCCCGGCUUAACCUGGGAACUGCGUCUGAUACUGGGAGGCUUGAGUAUGGGAGAGGGAUGUAGAAUUCCAGGUGUAGCGGUGAAAUGCGUAGAUAUCUGGAGGAAUACCGGUGGCGAAGGCGGCAAUCCUGGACCAUAACUGACGCUGAGGCGCGAAAGCUAGGGGAGCAAACGGGG
rnacentral:rRNA from 1 species